GGUGGCUCAGUGGUAAAGCACUUGCCUUGCAUGUAUGAGGCCCUGGGUUCAAUUCCUCAGCACCA
rnacentral:tRNA from 1 species